CCUACGGGUGGCAGCAGUGAGGAAUAUUGGUCAAUGGUCGGGAGACUGAACCAGCCAAGCCGCGUGAGGGAUGAAGGUACAGAGUAUCGUAAACCUCUUUUGUCAGGGAACAAAGGCGGGGACGUGUCCCCGGAUGAGUGUACCUGAAGAAAAAGCAUCGGCUAACUCCGUGCCAGCAGCCGCGGUAAUACGGAGGAUGCGAGCGUUAUCCGGAAUGACUGGGCGUAAAGGGUGCGUAGGUGGUUUGACAAGUUAGUAGCGCAACUCCGGAGCUCAACUUCGGAACUACUACUAAAACUGUUGGACUUGAGUGCAGGAGGGGCAAUCGGAAUUCCUAGUGUAGCGGUGGAAUGCGUAGAUAUUAGGAGGAACACCAGUGGCGAAGGCGGAUUGCUAGACUGUAACUGACACUGAGGCACGAAAGCGUGGGGAGCAAACAGGAUUAGAUACCCCAGUAGUC
rnacentral:rRNA from 1 species